CCUACGGGGGGCUGCAGUGGGGAAUAUUGGACAAUGGGCGCAAGCCUGAUCCAGCAAUGCCGCGUGUGUGAAGAAGGCCUGCGGGUUGUAAAGCACUUUCAGUGGGGAGGAAGGCCUCGAUAUUAAUACUAUUGAGGAUUGACGUUACCCACAGAAGAAGCACCGGCUAACUCUGUGCCAGCAGCCGCGGUAAUACAGAGGGUGCAAGCGUUAAGUGGAAUUACCGGGCGUAAAGGGUGAGGACAUGGUUGGAAGCCCCGGGCUCAACCUGGAAAUUGCAUUUGAUACUGAGUAACUUGAGUAUGGUAGAGGGAAGUGGAAUUUCCAGUGUAGCGGUGAAAUGCGUAGAUAUUGGAAGGAACAUCAGUGGCGAAGGCGACUUCCUGGACCAUUACUGACACUGAGGCACGAAAGCGUGGGGAGCGAACAGGAUUAGAUACCCUUGUAGUC
rnacentral:rRNA from 1 species